CAUUGAAGAUCGAUCAUCUUCUCUAUUAGAUGCCUUCCAUAUCAGCUUAAUAGAAGCAACUUCACUAAUAAAUGACAAUGGUCAGCUUAUUUACAACAUUUCUACUGGAUUUUUUUUCCUCAGGAUUCUCUUCAGAGGAAUAGGAGGAGAGGUUAUAUUCUCUGCAUGAGGACAAGUCUACAGUGUCAAAAUCAAGUAAUAUUUGUCUUCUGACAGCAGAACGUUGUAUCAUAUUUCUAAGGACGCUUCUGCGCAUCCUUGAGGGACAAAAAUGUGACUUCCUGACUUCUCCAAGAGAGGAAAGAGGGAAAUAAUGGCCAAUGAGGUAAUGGGAAUUCUCACCUUUACUAGUUCCAGAAGCAUGACAGAGGUACAGGUUUGGGAGCUAUUUGACAAAGGCUUGAAGCUAUAGUUUGUGAGAAUGACCUUCAGUACUAGAGAGAUAAUGGACAAUAAAUCAAACUUCAUUUUAGUCAAGAUCCAAGGAACCUAUAAUGUCAAAAGUUUCUUCCACUAGUAACCAUGAAUUACCAAGAUAUACUCAAAGGUCUAGUUAAGGAAUUUAUUUUGUGACUGCAUUGAAAACAAACUCCUCAAAUAGCGCCAUCCUUACUGUGCUGUGACCUGUAUACUCCUAACGGUUCAGAAGAGUGAAGAAAGAAACGCUGGAAGAGAAUGUGUUUAAAAAUACACAUUUAACCUGUUCCCCAAAGCCAUACCUAAGAAUUCCCCUUUUGAGUUUGCUUCUGGUUCAUGGGGGCUUCGAGGAAGAUUGUUUCACAUGACUUGGAGAGCGCAAGAAAGGCAGCAGCCAUUUUGUAGCAUGUACACAUCUUCUUGCAGGUAUUCUGCCAAAUACUAAUUUUGGCUUUAUGAAAACCGAGAAAGCCACUGUUCAUGCAGAGUGGAAAUAACGUUGUAAUCCCACUUGGAUCAGUCUUAGUGAGGACCACUAAUUGCAAAACAACUUUCCCCACCAUGGUUGAGGGAGGGCCCAUGGGAAGAGGGCAUCUGACUUAAGCAGGAAGAGGAGGAUCCUCCCUCAGGAUAUUAUGCCUGCAUCGCCAUGCCUUCCCACGUGGUAAAGCCUUGAGAGAAGGGUUGAUAGUGGUCCACACCAUGUCUUCCAUAGUGCGCAAGAAAGUCUGCAGUAAGAGCCAAUAAAGUGACACCACAGGGAGAGGAAAGAAAAGGGCCAGUGAAGGGGGAAACCUGCUAGUUUCGUGGGAGGUUCCAGCUGCCUCUAAGACCCUGACUCUCCUGAGGGUAGCUAAAUUUUGGAUUAUUAUAAAUUGCAU